UACGGAGGAUCCGAGCGUUAUCCGGAUUUAUUGGGUUUAAAGGGUGCGCAGGCGGAAUAUUAAGUCGGCGGUGAAAGUUUGCAGCUUAACUGUAAAAUUGCCGUUGAAACUGGUUUUCUUGAGUGUAUAUGGAGUAGGCGGAAUUUGUAGUGUAGCGGUGAAAUGCAUAGAUAUUACAAGGAACUCCGAUUGCGAAGGCAGCUUACUAAAAUACAACUGACGCUCAGGCACGAAGGCGUGGGUAUCAAACAGGAUUAGAUACCCUGGUAGUCCCUGA
rnacentral:rRNA from 1 species